GGGACAGUCAGGAUUCGACGGGAAGAGUUGUGAUCUUGGUGGCAAGUCGAGUAUGUAUCGUAUCUCGCUAAAUAACCGAUGCAAAACACAAAUGCAAAAACAUUUGUCGAGAAAGUAAAAACCGCAUUCGCGGGACUAGCUUUUUCACCUGCCGUCGCCUAAUAGCGCGGCUGUCUCACUCGCCCUUUGGCUUGGAGAGCGUUUGAGGCACAACCAAACAAGUCUAUAGCUCGUAAGACAGCUUCGGUAGCGAGCCGAAAAUACUGAAGCACAUCCAAUUAAGCUUGUAACUCCACCCAGACAUUUCCUUCUCGGACGGGGGUUCGAUUCCCCCCUGUUCCACCA
rnacentral:tmRNA from 1 species